rnacentral:misc_RNA from 1 species
GUGAAUCAUCAAAUUUUUGAACGCACAUUGCACUCUCCUGGGAGAGAAUGCCUGUUUGUGGGUCAGCCUAUAAAAAAUCGACAUCGUUGCUGUUUCGCGGUGACGUUGGUCGGAAAUUGGGUCAUUUUAAAUCAUUUGGAGUUAAGCGACUUAAAAUGUGCUUUUGGUUCCAUGAACGUUCCUAAGCUCAAUUUCUUUGCACGUUCAAGGUAUCGAUUUUUACUAGAGGUGACUAUCAUAUCGGAUCGCGUCGAUAAUGUUUCAUAAACUGACCUCAGACAGGUAUGA